rnacentral:rRNA from 1 species
AUUGAACGCUGGCGGCAGGCCUAACACAUGCAAGUCGAGCGGAUGAGAGGAGCUUGCUUCUCGAUUCAGCGGCGGACGGGUGAGUAAUGCCUAGGAAUCUGCCUGGUAGUGGGGGACAACGUUUCGAAAGGAACGCUAAUACCGCAUACGUCCUACGGGAGAAAGCAGGGGACCUUCGGGCCUUGCGCUAAUAGAUGAGCCUAGGUCGGAUUAGCUUGUUGGUGAGGUAAUGGCUCACCAAGGCGACGAUCCGUAACUGGUCUGAGAGGAUGAUCAGUCACACUGGAACUGAGACACGGUCCAGACUCCUACGGGAGGCAGCAGUGGGGAAUAUUGGACAAUGGGCGAAAGCCUGAUCCAGCCAUGCCGCGUGUGUGAAGAGGGUCUUCGGAUUGUAAAGCACUUUAAGUUGGGAGGAAGGGUUGUAGAUUAAUACUCUGCAAUUUUGACGUUACCGACAGAAUAAGCACCGGCUAACUCUGUGCCAGCCGCCGCGGUAAAAC